AGCGAACGCUGGCGGCAGGCUUAACACAUGCAAGUCGAACGCCCCGCAAGGGGAGUGGCAGACGGGUGAGUAACACGUGGGAACGUACCCUUUGGUUCGGAAUAACUUGGGGAAACUCAAGCUAAUACCGGAUAAGCCCUUAUGGGGAAAGGUUUACUGCCGAAGGAUCGGCCCGCGUCUGAUUAGCCAGUUGGUGAGGUAAUGGCUCACCAAGGCGACGAUCAGUAGCUGGUCUGAGAGGAUGAUCAGCCACACUGGGACUGAGACACGGCCCAGACUCCUACGGGAGGCAGCAGUGGGGAAUAUUGGACAAUGGGCGCAAGCCUGAUGCAGCGACGCCGCGUGAGGGAUGACGGCCUUCGGGUUGUAAACCUCUUUUACCCGGGACGAUAAUGACUGUACCGGGAGAAUAAGCCCCGGCUAACUUCGUGCCAGCCGCCGCAGUAA
rnacentral:rRNA from 1 species